UACGUAGGUGGCAAGCGUUAUCCGGAAUUAUUGGGCGUAAAGCGCGCGUAGGCGGUUUCUUAAGUCUGAUGUGAAAGCCCACGGCUUAACCGUGGAGGGUCAUUGGAAACUGGUCGACUUGAGUGCAGAAGAGGGAAGUGGAAUUCCAUGUGUAGCGGUGAAAUGCGUAGAUAUAUGGAGGAACACCAGUUGCGAAGGCGGCUCUCUGGACUGUAACUGACACUGAGGCACGAAAGCGUGGGGAGCAAACAGGAUUAGAUACCCCGGUA
rnacentral:rRNA from 1 species